rnacentral:lncRNA from 10 species
CUUUAUAGCAGCAUGAUUUAUAGUCCUUUGGGUAUAUACCCAGUAAUGGGAUAGCUGUGUCAAAUGGUAUUUCUAGUUCUAGAUCCCUGAGGAAUCGCCACACUGACUUCCACGAUGGUUGAACUAGUUUACAGUCCCACCAACAGUGUAAAAGUGUUCCUAUUUCUCCACAUCCUCUCCAGCACCUGAUAAUGCAUUUUUGUAUUGCAAAAUGCAACACCCUCUUUAAUACUGAUCCAUAUGAAAAUUGUUGAAUUAUGUGAAUGUGGAGUGUUAAUGUAAGAUCUUUGGGAGCAUAAAAUACAGCAGAGAGGCCAGAAAGGGAACUAUGAGCUGAAUCCAGAUGCCAGUUAGUGAGUUUCUGGCAAGGUGGCAGUAGCUGCAAGAAGAAAAUCCACUUCUCCCGCCCGCCAUCUUUAAAAUGCAUCCUUCCGACACUUCAUUGCACGUGCCACACUACUGGACUCUGGAUCUAAGAAUUCUCCCAAAUGUCUUGUUCUUUCUAUGAACAUAAAAAGCCAAAAUAGGUGAAUGAGCCUAGACUUUUCACAGGAAAGCUAGAAAUAGUGGCAUUUGUCCAAUCUAUGUGUGACCACAGGGGCGCUGUAGACAAACGGAAAGGAGCGGUAACUUCCGGGUCAUUGCCAUGGCACUUGCCAGGUCAGUUCAUCUUUAGCCAAGCAGCAGAGACGAGAUGAACCUGUGGCUGCGGUUGCUUGGUUGACUCUGCAGAUGAUGAUGCAGUGCCUCCUUUAUGAAAGAUUUCUGAGGACUUCCCCACUUCUUCCUACUUGCGGGGAAGAUAAUAAGGAGAAAAGAUCAAGGAACCAGAAAGCUUCUAGAGGCAUGAGAUGUCGGAUUCCAAUAAAGCACUCAGAAGGAGCUGAUCUUACCGUUUUGGUUUGGGUAGUAGAGCGAGACAUCUCAGUGCUUUCAGUUUCUACCCCUUUCCGCAUCCCACUAAACCACUUUUUAUAUUCCAUUCGAACCUGGAAAUUUGAGUGGAGAGGUCCGUGUUACAUCCAGAGCUUGGUUUGGGAGAAAGGAUCCUAAAAUGGGAGGCUAAAGAUAAAGACACCAAGCCCUACUCUCUAGUUUUCCAUAUAAUCUUGGCCAUGCCCAUGUUGAUUCAUUUUAUUUAAACUCAAACUUCUCAGUUGUAAAAAAGAUGUGUAUUAAAUAUCAG